GUAGGCUAUUAGCGUGUAGGCUAUUAGCGUGUAGGCUAUUAGCGUGUAGGCGAUUAGCGUGUAGGCUAUUAGCGUGUAGGCGAUUAGCAUGUAGGCUAUUAGCGUGUAGGCUAUUAGCGUGUAGGCGAUUAACGUGUAGGCUAUUUGCGUGUAGGCUAUUAGCGUGUAGGCUAUUAGAGUUUAGAGUGUGUGUGUGUGUGUGUGUGUGUGUGUGUGUGUGUGUUUUAGAGUGUGUGUUUGUGUGUUUUAGAGUGUGUGAGUGUGUUUCAGAGUGUGUGAGUGUGUUUCAGAGUGUGUGUGUGUGUGUUUCAGAGUGUGUGUGUGUGUGUGUGUUUCAGAGUGUGUGUGAGUGUGUUUCAGAGUGUGUGUGAGUGUGUGUGUUUUAGAGUGUGUGUGUGUGUGUUUUAGAGUGUGUGUGUGUGUUUCAGAGUGUGUGAGUGUGUUUCAGAGUGUGUGUGUGUGUGUUUCAGAGUGUGUGUGUGUGUGUGUGUUUCAGAGUGUGUGUGAGUGUGUUUCAGAGUGUGUGUGAGUGUGUGUGUUUUAGAGUGUGUGUGUGUGUGUUUUAGAGUGUGUGUGUGUGUUUCAGAGUGUGUGUGUGUGUUUCAGAGUGUGUGUGUGUGUGUUUCAGAGUGUGUGAGUGUGUUUCAGAGUGUGUGUGUGUGUUUCAGAGUGUGUGAGUGUGUUUCAGAGUGUGUGUGAGUGUGUGUGUGUGUGUUUCAGAGUGUGUGUGAGUGUGUGUGUGUGUGUUGCAGAGUGUGUGUGAGUGUGUUUCAGAGUGUGUGUGUGUUUCAGAGUGUGUGUGUGUGUGUUUCAGAGUGUGUGUGUGUGUGUGUGUGUUUCAGAGUGUGUGUGUGUGUGUUUCAGAGUGUGUGUGUGUGUGUGUGUUUUAGAGUGUGUGUGUGUGUGUUUCAGAGUGUGUGUGUUUCAGAGUGUGUGUGUGUGUGUGUGUGUGUUUCAGAGUGUGUGUGAGUGUGUUUCAGAGUGUGUGUGUGUUUCAGAGUGUGUGUGUGUGUGUGUUUCAGAGUGUGUGUGUGUGUGUUUCAGAGUGUGUGUGUGUGUGUGUUUCAGAGUGUGUGUGUGUGUGUUUCAGAGUGUGUGUGUGUUUCAGAGUGUGUGUGUGUGUGUGUUUUCAAGUGUGUGUGUGUGUGUUUCAGAGUGUGUGUGUGUGUGUGUUUCAGAGUGUGUGUGUGUGUGUUUCAGUGUGUGUGUGUGUGUGUUUCAGAGUGUGUGUGUGUGUGUUUCAGUGUGUGUGUGAGUGUGU
rnacentral:lncRNA from 1 species